CCUACGGGAGGCUGCAGUGAGGAAUAUUGGUCAAUGAGCGUAAGCCUGAACCAGCCAAGUCGCGUGAGGGAUGAAGGUUCUAUGGAUUGUAAACCUCUUUUAUAAGGGAAUAAAGUGCGGGACGUGUCCCGUGUUGUAUGUACCUUAUGAAUAAGGAUCGGCUAACUCCGUGCCAGCAGCCGCGGUAAUACGGAGGAUCCGAGCGUUAUCCGGAUUUAUUGGGUUUAAAGGGUGCGUAGGCGGCCUUUUAAGUCAGCGGUGAAAGUCUGUGGCUCAACCAUAGAAUUGCCGUUGAAACUGGGAGGCUUGAGUAUGUUUGAGGCAGGCGGAAUGCGUGGUGUAGCGGUGAAAUGCUUAGAUAUCACGCAGAACCCCGAUUGCGAAGGCAGCCUGCCAAGCCAUGACUGACGCUGAUGCACGAAAGCGUGGGGAUCAAACAGGAUUAGAUACCCCAGUAGUC
rnacentral:rRNA from 1 species